UACGUAGGUGGCAAGCGUCGUCCGGAAUUAUUGGGCGUAAAGAGCGUGUAGGCGGUCCGGUAAGUCGGCUGUGAAAGUCCAGGGCUCAACCCUGGGAUGCCGGUCGAUACUGUCGGACUAGAGUUCGGAAGAGGCGAGUGGAAUUCCCGGUGUAGCGGUGAAAUGCGCAGAUAUCGGGAGGAACACCAAUGGCGAAGGCAGCUCGCUGGGACGUUACUGACGCUGAGACGCGAAAGCGUGGGGAGCAAACAGG
rnacentral:rRNA from 1 species